UACGAAGGGGACUAGCGUUGUUCGGAAUUACUGGGCGUAAAGCGCACGUAGGCGGAUUUGUUAGUCAGGGGUGAAAUCCCGGGGCUCAACCUCGGAACUGCCUUUGAUACUGCAAGUCUCGAGUCCGAUAGAGGUGGGUGGAAUUCCUAGUGUAGAGGUGAAAUUCGUGGAUAUUAGGAAGAACACCGGUGGCGAAGGCGGCCCACUGGAUCGGUACUGACGCUGGGGUGCGAAAGCGUGGGGAGCAAACAGG
rnacentral:rRNA from 1 species